rnacentral:lncRNA from 1 species
CAACCCUGAUGAUAUCAUCCGAAUUAUGCUCAACUCAAUUAGUCCUGUGACUCCUCACUAGGACUACCCUGGCCAAAGUUUUGCUAAAUUGAAACACGACUGUACACAGCUCCUAAACUGGAGUGGUCAAUCCCAUCUUGACACACGCACCGACAAGUCAAGUACUUGACUACACCCAGCAGCCUUCCAUCAUUGAAUUAGAAAUUCAGGUAGUCCAGUGCCUAAGUGCAAUGAGUUGCUUGCAAGUCACCGUGGCGGUCUCAGAUCGGAGGGACAUUUAUACCCAUAUCCCAUCGGAGCAAAUCUUGACAGCAGAAAUAGCUCUGGAGUUGGUCACGUUCAGUGCAGAUGUACCAUUACAUCUCACCUGUAUGCCAUACCAGUGUCUCCACACUCUUUGGUUAUGAGGACAACCAACCCAUAUGGCACACAAUGACCUAUGCUCGAUAAACGUUAUCGUCCUUGGUAACAACGUAUCAUUUGGUCGCG